rnacentral:rRNA from 1 species
GUGGAUUAGAUACCCUAGUAGUCCAUGCCGUAAACGUUGGGCGCUAGGUGUGGGACUCAUUCCACGAGUUCCGUGCCGCAGCUAACGCAUUAAGCGCCCCGCCUGGGGAGUACGGCCGCAAGGCUAAAACUCAAAGGAAUUGACGGGGGCCCGCACAAGCGGCGGAGCAUGCGGAUUAAUUCGAUGCAACGCGAAGAACCUUACCAAGGCUUGACAUAUACCGGAAACAUCCAGAGAUGGGUGCCCCUUUUAGGUCGGUAUACAGGUGGUGCACGGCCGUCGUCAACU